CCUACGGUCGGCAGCAGUGGGGGAUAUUGCACAAUGGGGGAAACCCUGAUGCAGCGACGCCGCGUGGGUGAAGAAGCGCCUCGGCGCGUAAAGCCCUGUCAGCCGGGAAGAAAAUGCCGGUACCUGAAGACGAAGCCCCGUCUAACUACGUGCCACCAGACGCGGUACUACGUAGGGGGCAAGCGUUCUCCGGAUUUACUGGGUGUACAGGGGGCGCAGACGGCGAUGCAAGCCAGGAGUGAAAGCCCGGGGGCCAAACCCGGGACUGCUCUUGGAACUGCGUGGCUAGAGUGGAGGAGGGGCAGGCGGAAUUCCUGGUGUAGCGGUGAAAGGGGAAGAUAUCAGGAGGAACGCCGAUGGCGAAGGCGGCCUGCUGGACUGCAACUGACGUUGAGGCCCGAAAGCGUGGGGAGCAAACAGGAUUAGAUACCCGAGUAGUC
rnacentral:rRNA from 1 species